UACGGAGGGUGCGAGCGUUAUCCGGAUUCACUGGGUUUAAAGGGUGCGUAGGUGGGAAUGUAAGUCAGUGGUGAAAUCUCUGAGCUUAACUCAGAAACUGCCAUUGAUACUAUGUUUCUUGAAUUUUCUGGAGGUCAGCGGAAUAUGUCAUGUAGCGGUGAAAUGCUUAGAUAUGGCAUAGAACACCAAUUGCGAAGGCAGCUGGCUACAGGGAUAUUGACACUGAGGCACGAAAGCGUGGGGAUCAAACAGG
rnacentral:rRNA from 1 species